GUCAUGGACCGGAAGCGUGUGCGGGCGCGCCUGCCUCGAGGCCAGCAUCAGGGAAGUGUGUCCCAGGUGAAGGCGAAGCUUCCUUCACGUGUUCUUGGAGGACUUUCCGCUCGCAAGCGCUUCUCCAUUCUCCUAACGUCUCGGGCCUGCUCUAGUCCAGAGGAGAAAAGGAUAAUGAAUAUCACACUAAACAACAUGGAAUACUUCUCAAGUCACCAAAAAGGUAAAUCAGAAAGUAUUAUUUGCUAUUUUGAACUGGAAAAACAUAUAAAUGUUCCCAUCUCUUUUCUUGGCAGGUGAAACUGGACAGAAUACUUCUGUCCAUAAGGCCCUUAGAAGCCCCCUAAGUGAAAUACCAGUGAGGACCCCCCCCCCAGCAGCUGCUGUCUCUUCAGUCAGGUAGAUGAGCCCCAGGAAUAACCACUGCUUAUGGUUUGCUGUAUAUCCCUCUAGAUGUUUUUCUGUACACAUAUGUGUGUGUGUGGAGAGAGGGUGUGUGUUGUGUAAGUUGGA
rnacentral:lncRNA from 10 species